AGGGUCCUUUUCUCUCUGCCUCUGCUGUCCCUGGGGUGCUGCUCCUACCCUCCUGCAGAAUAGUUUCCCUGUCAGCCACAGAAUGUCCUGCCGAGACAAAGAAAAAGGACCCAUGUUUCGUUUCUUCUUUGAAGGAAGCCAACCAAACCUCCAUGUAACAUAACUGACAAAGGCCACAAUAUUGAUACUUUUUUUUCAGCAUCUCAAGAAUGCAACUGUUAGUCUCCUUCCUUCUCAGACAACUUUUGCAGCCCACAAUGAAAGACCUGGGUAAUAAGGGCUGGCUACCAUCUGGGCUACAUAGCAGGAAGAGAGCAGUAUCGUUCCAGUCCUGUGGGGAGGAGAACUGCCCUCCUAUGCCAAAGAGAUGUUUCUGCUAAUGGUCACGGCUCUUCCCAUUACUGAGUGGAGGAGUUAGGGGCCUGGUGUUUGCUUGGAACUCCCACAGGUCCAGCUGACUGGGUGUAGGAGGGUUUUGAUAACCUGUACAUCACUAGUGCGAAGAAUACAGUGGCAGGACUACUGCACUUGUAUAAUCCAGAAGCAAAGACUGCUCCGAGAGUGACAAGCUGGAAGCAGGAGGCCGAUUGACAAGAUGAUUGCCCAC